rnacentral:lncRNA from 1 species
GGAAAUUGGCUUAGGGAAUCUUGCAUAACAGACUAGGGAAACUUCUAGUAAGCUUGGGUUUGGGACUAUUUUAAAAUUUUGAUUUCUAAACUAGGGACUGUUAAGAAAAAACCAAAGUGUAAAAAGGGUCUAAUUGCAAAAUUUGACUUCUUAAAGCUACCCUAAUACCUUGCCUAUAAAUGUACUUUUACUUGGCAUUCAAGAAAAAAAGGGACAAAAAUUCUGAAAAAUUAAAAACGACUGAAAAAUUCAUAGAAUUACAUCCAUUGAAUUUCUUCUGUGAUUCAUAAGGUUUUCAAUUUCUGAAGCAAAUUCUGAUUCAUCUGCGGUUGAAAUAAAUUGAAUUUGGGCUUUUUAAAAGUUUGAUUUGAAGUAGCUGGGUUAUUGUUCGAUUAAAAUUGGUUUUUUGGACUGCAACACAUCAUUUUUUUGGUUUGAAAUUGGUUUUGCUGGUUAUUUCUUGCUGCUGGGUUCUGCUAUAUUGCUUCUUGGCUACUGACAUCACAUUGCUUUAUUUCCUUUCCUAUUUCGGGUACAUUUUGGCCCUAUGGAUAUCACCUAAGUGUAGUUUGAAUUGUG